rnacentral:rRNA from 1 species
CUAAGAAUAUUCCGCAAUGGGCGAAAGCCUGACGGAGCGACGCCGCGUGGAUGAAGAAGGCCGUGAGGUUGUAAAGUCCUUUUGCUGGGGAAGAAUAAGCCUGGGAGGGAAUGCCCGGGUGAUGACAUGAACCGGCGAAUAAGCCCCGGCUAACUACGUGCCAGCAGCCGCGGUAACACGUAGGGGGCAAGCGUUGUUCGGAAUUACUGGGCGUAAAGGGCAUGUAGGCGGUUCGGUAAGCCUGGCGUGAAAGGUCGCGGCUCAACUGCGACACUGCGCUGGGAACUGCUGGACUUGAGUCACGGAGGGGGAGCUAGAAUUCCGGGUGUAGGGGUGAAAUCUGUAGAUAUCCGGAAGAAUACCAGUGGCGAAGGCGAGCUCCUGGCCGAUGACUGACGCUGAGGUGCGAAAGCGUGGGGAGCAAACAGG